rnacentral:misc_RNA from 1 species
GAAAUGCGAUACGUAAUGUGAAUUGCAGAACCGUGAGUCAUCAGAUUUUUGAACGCAACUGGCGCCGACUGGCUCUCCGGCCGGCAUGCUUGUUUCAGUGUCUUUUUAUCUCAUCGCCUACAUCUUAAUGCUGGAGAUACCCUUCUCUGGUUAAGCAUGAAAGCACACUGACGUCUGCAGGUGAUCUCAGCUUGCUGAGGGUCACACUCAAUGCAGCAGUCACAUUGAUAACAGUGUGAACUCAUUGUGAGUAGACUCAGAGCAGUUUAUCUGCACAGUGCUUAGACACUCUAAACUUAUCUUGUAUCUGAAAUCAAGCAGGACCACCCGCUGAACUUAA